AUCCAGCUGACGAGUCCAAAAUAGGGCGAAACGCGUGCUUUGGAU
rnacentral:hammerhead_ribozyme from 1 species